rnacentral:rRNA from 1 species
GGUUAAGCGACUAAGCGUACACGGUGGAUGCCCUGGCAGUCAGAGGCGAUGAAGGACGUGCUAAUCUGCGAUAAGCGUCGGUAAGGUGAUAUGAACCGUUAUAACCGGCGAUUUCCGAAUGGGGAAACCCAGUGUGAUUCGUCACACUAUCAUUAACUGAAUCCAUAGGUUAAUGAGGCGAACCGGGGGAACUGAAACAUCUAAGUACCCCGAGGAAAAGAAAUCAACCGAGAUUCCCCCAGUAGCGGCGAGCGAACGGGGAGGAGCCCAGAGCCUGAAUCAGUGUGUGUGUUAGUGGAAGCGUCUGGAAAGGCGCGCGAUACAGGGUGACAGCCCCGUACACAAAAAUGCACAUGCUGUGAGCUCGAUGAGUAGGGCGGGACACGUGGUAUCCUGUCUGAAUAUGGGGGGACCAUCCUCCAAGGCUAAAUACUCCUGACUGACCGAUAGUGAACCAGUACCGUGAGGGAAAGGCGAAAAGAACCCCGGCGAGGGGAGUGAAAAAGAACCUGAAACCGUGUACGUACAAGCAGUGGGAGCCUCUUUAUGGGGUGACUGCGUACCUUUUGUAUAAUGGGUCAGCGACUUAUAUUCUGUAGCAAGGUUAACCGAAUAGGGGAGCCGAAGGGAAACCGAGUCUUAACUGGGCGUUAAGUUGCAGGGUAUAGACCCGAAACC